CAUGUAUGAAUUUUUAAGUAAAGUCAAGGAAGCUCUGGGUGAGGACGAACAAAGUGGUCAAGGAGCUACAGGCAUGAGAAGGGCAAAUACAGCCCCGCCAUGGACGCCAUGGGGAAGGCGUCCCGAUAAAUCUACGUACUUUGGAGCGAACAUUACCGGUCACCGCCGUUCACAGAUUGACCCAGACAGUGCAUCAAUGGCUCAUCUUAGAACAGAUUCAAGCAUAGAGGAUAGUGAAGGUUCAUCUUACGUGCCACUGGAGUCGGAAUACGAAGAAGUAUCUGAAGACCGUCGGCCAAAUCAGUCGUCUUCAGAUAUAUUAUAAUGAGAGUUUGAGACUAUUACAGAGAAGAUGGAAGGGGCUGCCGUCCUUUUUAUUGUGGUGCUACCCCUGAAAUGAAUUCGAGCAGAAUACAAUAAACCGACAGUGGCGUAAUGAGCCCCCCACCCCACCCCCCCCAAAAAAAAAUGAGGGACUUGAUACGGCGUAUCGUGAAAAUUGAUAAAAGGUUGAGAGCGAGCAAAAGUUUCGACAUUUUCAUUGAAAAAUUAAAGUUUGUGAUAGAUUUUGGCAUAUAUUAAAAAACUGACAUCAUAUUUCACCCCUAUCCCUUUCCUUUUCUAUUCUCUUGGUCUUGAAUUUUCGUUUUUUGUGGGUGUGAGGGGGGGGGGGAGGCAAGAGUCCCCCAAUUCCACCAUCUUUACAGCAGUGUUUGCCGACGGAUGAAAAAAAGCAUUGCAUCAGCUUAUGUUUUGCAAAGUCUUGUGAAGAUUAUCUAAUAAAGGGAAGUCAUCCCCAACAAAAAAUAAAAGAGAUGAAAAUGGAAUAGUGCGUAGUACAUGAACUCUUUCUUUUGCAUAUUUGAUUUGAUUUGAUUGCUUUUAUUUCUGCAUUCAUUGCAUCAGAUAUAAGUUCAAGAAGUGAUAUGUACAAAUGUAUAUAAUAUAACAAAAUAUAAUAAUAUUGUUGAAGUAUAAGUUUUGGAUCAAUGAUGAUUAAACAAAUGUAUUACUCAGUAAACAAAAAGACAAUUUUAAAGA